rnacentral:sRNA from 1 species
CCUGAAUUUGCCUGUAUACUCUCGUUCUGCAUCUUAUAAAGGACCAGACAAAUCAAAUUAGUGGUUUUGUAGCCAUCCCUGCCAUUGGGGCGCAGUAUUCCAUGUUUCCAGCAGCUCCAGCCCCUAAAAUGAUUGAAGAUGGCAAAAUCCACACAGUGGAGCACAUGAUCAGCCCUAUUGCUGUGCAGCCAGACCCAGCCAGUGCUGCUGCCGCCGCAGCCGCGGCCGC